rnacentral:rRNA from 1 species
UACGGGGGGUGCGAGCGUUGUCCGGAAUCACUGGGUUUAAAGGGUGCGUAGGCGGCCUAUUAAGUCAGGGGUGAAAGACGGUAGCUUAACUAUCGCAGUGCCUUUGAUACUGAUAGGCUUGAAUGUACUUGAGGUAGGCGGAAUGUGACAAGUAGCGGUGAAAUGCAUAGAUAUGUCACAGAACACCAAUUGCGAAGGCAGCUUACUAAAGUAUGAUUGACGCUGAGGCACGAAAGCGUGGGGAUCAAACAGG